UAGGGAAUCUUCCGCAAUGGACGCAAGUCUGACGGAGCAACGCCGCGUGAGUGAAGAAGGAUUUCGGUUCGUAAAACUCUGUUGUUAGAGAAGAACAGCGCAUAGAGUAACUGUUAUGCGUGUGACGGUAUCUAACCAGAAAGCCACGGCUAACUACGUGCCAGCAGCCGCGGUAAUACGUAGGUGGCAAGCGUUGUCCGGAUUUAUUGGGCGUAAAGCGAGCGCAGGCGGUCAAUUAAGUCUGAUGUGAAAGCCCCCGGCUCAACCGGGGAGGGUCAUUGGAAACUGGUUGACUUGAGUGCAGAAGAGGAGAGUGGAAUUCCAUGUGUAGCGGUGAAAUGCGUAGAUAUAUGGAGGAACACCAGUGGCGAAGGCGACUCUCUGGUCUGUAACUGACGCUGAGGCUCGAAAGCGUGGGUAGUAAACAGG
rnacentral:rRNA from 1 species